rnacentral:rRNA from 1 species
UACAGAGGUCUCAAGCGUUGUUCGGAUUCAUUGGGCGUAAAGGGUGCGUAGGCGGCGCGGUAAGUCGGGUGUGAAAUCUCGGAGCUUAACUCCGAAACUGCAUUCGAUACUGCCGUGCUUGAGGACUGGAGAGGAGACUGGAAUUUACGGUGUAGCGGUGAAAUGCGUAGAUAUCGUAAGGAAGACCAGUGGCGAAGGCGGGUCUCUGGGCAGUAACUGACGCUGGAGGAGCGAAAGCGUGGGGAGCGAACAGG